CCUACGGGAGGCAGCAGUGAGGAAUAUUGGACAAUGGGCGCAAGCCUGAUCCAGCCAUGCCGCGUGCAGGAAGACGGUCCUAUGGAUUGUAAACUGCUUUUGUACGGGAAGAAACACUCCUUCGUGAAGGAGCUUGACGGUACCGUAAGAAUAAGGAUCGGCUAACUCCGUGCCAGCAGCCGCGGUAAUACGGAGGAUCCAAGCGUUAUCCGGAAUCAUUGGGUUUAAAGGGUCCGUAGGCGGUUUAGUAAGUCAGUGGUGAAAGCCCAUCGCUCAACGGUGGAACGGCCAUUGAUACUGCUAGACUUGAAUUAUUAGGAAGUAACUAGAAUAUGUAGUGUAGCGGUGAAAUGCUUAGAGAUUACAUGGAAUACCAAUUGCGAAGGCAGGUUACUACUAAUGGAUUGACGCUGAUGGACGAAAGCGUGGGUAGCGAACAGGAUUAGAUACCCUGGUAGUCCACGCCGUAAACGAUGGAUACUAGCUGUUGGGGGCAACUUCAGUGGCUAAGCGAAAGUGAUAAGUAUCCCACCUGGGGAGUACGUUCGCAAGAAUGAAACUUAAAUGAAUUGACGG
rnacentral:rRNA from 1 species